CCUACGUGAGGCAGCAGUGAGGAAUAUUGGUCAAUGGUCGGGAGACUGAACCAGCCAAGCCGCGUGAGGGAGGAAGGUACAGAGUAUCGUAAACCUCUUUUGUCAGGGCACAAAGACUGGGACGCGUCCCCGGAUGAGUGUACCUGAAGAAAAAGCAUCGGCUAACUCCGUGCCCGCAGCCGCGGUAAUACGGAGGAUGCGAGCGUUAUCCGGUUUUAUUGGGUUUAAAGGGUGCGCAGGCGGUCUGUUAAGUCAGCGGUCAAAGCCCGGGGCUCAACCCCGGCCCGCCGUUGAAACUGGCAGUCUCGAGUUGGAGAGAAGUAUGCGGAAUGCGCGGUGUAGCGGUGAAAUGCAUAGAUAUCGCGCAGAACUCCGAUUGCGAAGGCAGCAUGCCGGCUCCACACUGACGCUGAGGCACGAAAGCGUGGGUAUCGAACAGGAUUAGAUACCCCAGUAGUC
rnacentral:rRNA from 1 species